UACAGAGGGGGCAAGCGUUGUUCGGAAUUACUGGGCGUAAAGGGCGCGUAGGCGCCUUCUAAGUCGAACGUGAAAUCCCCGGGCUCAACCCGGGAACUGCGUCCGAUACUGGAAGGCUUGAAUCCGGGAGAGGGAUGCGGAAUUCCAGGUGUAGCGGUGAAAUGCGUAGAUAUCUGGAGGAACACCGGUGGCGAAGGCGGGACUCUGGGCCGAUAUUGACGCUGAGGAGCGAAAGCGUGGGGAGCGAACAGG
rnacentral:rRNA from 1 species